rnacentral:rRNA from 1 species
AGAGUUUGAUCCUGGCUCAGAACGAACGCUGGCGGCAGGCUUAACACAUGCAAGUUGAACGGGAUUUGUGUGGUGCUUGCACCAUAUAAUGAGAGUAGCGCACUGGUGAGUAACACGUGGGAACGUGCCUUUUAGUGGGGGAUAACAUCUGGAAACGGAUGCUAAUACCGCAUACGCCCUGAGGGGGAAAGAUUUAUUGCUAAGAGGUCGGCCCGCGGUAGAUUAGGCAGUUGGUGGGGUAAAGGCCUACCAAACCUACGAUCUAUAGCUGGUCUGAGAGGACGAUCAGCCACAUUGGAACUGAGACACGGUCCAGACUCCUACGGGAGGCAGCAGUGAGGAAUAUUGGGCAAUGGAGGCAACUCUGACCCAGCCAUGCCGCGUGAGUGAGAAGGUUUUCGAAUUGUAAAGCUCUUUCGGGUGUGAAGAUGAUGACGGUAACACCAGAAGAAGCCCCGGCAAACUUCGUGCCAGCAGCCGCGGUAAUACGAAGGGGGCGAGCGUUGUUCGGAAUUACUGGGCGUAAAGGGUGUGUAGGCGGUUAAGUAAGAUAGUGGUGAAAUGCCGGGGCUCAACCUCGGAAUUGCCAUUAUGACUAUUUAGCUAGAAUGAUGCAGAGGAUAGCGGAAUACCCAGUGUAGAGGUGAAAUUCGUAGAUAUUGGGUAGAACACCAGAGGCGAAGGCGGCUAUCUGGGCAUUGAUUGACGCUGAGGCACGAAAGCAUGGGGAUCAAACAGGAUUAGAUACCCUGGUAGUCCAUGCCGUAAACGAUGAAUGCUAGUUGUUGGAGGAAUUCAGUGACGCAGUUAA